rnacentral:rRNA from 1 species
GGAUUAGAUACCCUGGUAGUCCACGCCGUAAACGAUGAUCACUAGACGUUGGUCUUGCUCUGCAAGAUUAGUGUCGUAGCUAACGCGCUAAGUGAUCCGCCUGGGGAUUACGGUCGCAAGAUUAAAACUUAAAGGAAUUGACGGGGGUCCGCACAAGCGGUGGAACAUGUGGUUUAAUUCGACACUACGCGAGGAACCUUACCUAGGUUUGACAUGUUUAUGAUCGCCUCAGAGAUGAGGUUUUCUUAAGGAAACUUAAGACAUAUUCACAGGUGCUGCAUGGCUGUCGUCAGCUCGUGCCG